AGUGUGUGAAUUCUGCCCUGUAACAAGGGAUAUUUAACUCAUGUUAACAUUUUUGUUUGGAAAGCCAAUCUGUGCGCGAGCUUCGAUUCUUUUUGUAACGCCUCAAACAAACGGACAGAAUGAGGACUCCGGAGCAACAGGAAGUCGCCGGGAAAGCCGCUGGAUAUUAGAGUGGGAAUAACUAAUCUAUCUAUAGACCUCAUUUAAGGUCCAUAUAUAAGCUCUCCGCUAUAUUCUAAACGCCGGAGACUGCUGCGCUGGAGCGAAGUUGUCGGAAUCCCAACCUGUUCGACACGAUGACACUAAUAUCUAUCACUAUUUUUAUUUAUGUAAUCUGUUGUACUGCCAUAUAUGGUCAUCGAUGUCCGGAAUACCCAUCACUGAUCAACAAUCUUAUGGACCAUGACUGCUCCAAUCAACUUGUAGAGGUUCUACAGGUUUUGUGUUCAGAGCAAUCGACAGGUACGGUGGGGAGCCAUGGUCGUGUCAAGCGUGACCAGGCGAUGACAAAUCUCGUGUGUGACUGCUGUAUACGGAGCUGUAGUGUCCAGAAACUUCAAGAAUACUGCUGGCUGACGUAGUGGCAUGUGCGCCAUCGACCGGAACCGGAUGUGGAGAGUGUGAAUAUGAACUAAUUUGUUUUACAAGUAAUGACACGAUGAUAAUGUGAUCUAUCAAGAACAAAGACAUUUAACCAGAAAAGGAAAUAUAAGAGAUCGAACAGUGUAGGAGAGCUGACGAGAAUUAUAUGAACGGUGCUGAAAGUCUAGGAGAAAAAAUGCUGAAAACCUGGCAAGGAUAUCAUAACAUUAAAACAUUACAAAAAGUGCUUCUGCCAUCUCAAAUUAAAGAACGUGAUGUUAUAAUAUAUAUACACGUAUGCUUAUUUUCAUUAUCACAUGCUUUCAAUAGAAACAUUAUCUUGUUAACCCGUCGGUCAACAUUGACAAACUCCGAUUAUCAUAAGCAUGGCAUUUAAUCAUGGAAAUGGUCUGUUUUGUGUAUUUUGUUGUUGUUAUAGUCGGAAAAAUACUCUUAGAGUUUUCUGAUGUUUUUAAAUUAUAUCAAUAUACCCGAAUCAUC